GGAUUAGAUACCCUGGUAGUCCACGCCGUAAACGAUGUCAACUAGCUAUUUGUGUUCUUGAAACGUGAGUAGCGUAGCUAACGCGCUAAGUUGACCGCCUGGGGAGUACGGCCGCAAGGUUAAAACUCAAAUGAAUUGACGGGGGCCCGCACAAGCGGUGGAGCAUGUGGUUUAAUUCGAUGCAACGCGAAGAACCUUACCAUCCCUUGACAUCCAGAGAAUUUUCUAGAGAUAGAUUAGUGCCUUCGGGAACUCUGAGACAGGUGCUGCAUGGCUGUCGUCAGCUCGUGCCG
rnacentral:rRNA from 1 species